AAUUCUGGGAGUUGAAGUCCAGACAUCUUCAAGUUGCCAAGGUUGAGAAACAUUGAGUUAGAGGAAAGGAAGCAGGGGUGAGAAAACAAGCUGGAGCAAAGACAAAGACAAGAGGUUACUAAACAGAGAAAGAAAUAAAAAAGAGAAGCUCUUUCAGAAAAAAGGUUAAUAUUCUGACGCAGUACCUUCUGCUCGUUCUUUCAUUUUCAACAGCUUUUUCUAUUCUUUCUAUUUCCUUCUAUGUAUGAAAGAAAGAUAAUUCUCUCAGCUCACAAAUUAUCUGGGGAAAGAAUGUUCUGUUUGAUCAAUUCAGUGUCUGCAUAGAGUUAGUAUAAUCAUAGUGUCCAUAUGUCUUUUACCCAGAUGGAAGAUGUCAAAUAAACAGCAGGUGAUGUUUAUUUCUCAUAAUAUCGGGAUACAAUGAUGAGUGUUAAAUUCUGUUUGGAGCAGACUGUGGAGAGAAAUUGGCCACCUGAGAUCAGACUCCUGUUCCCAGAGUGCUGCUGCUUCAUUGAUGGCCGCUGAUGUCAUCUCACCAAAACGGAGCACAAACAUCUUCUCUCAAAGGAAGAUUAUAUAACAGGGAAUUGAAGUUAACCUGAGUUUUAAUGGUGUUUGCAUUCAUUUUGUGGAUGGGGUAGGCUGUAGCCCUUUUAGGUGUUUAAUUUUCCAGUGUUCCUCACAAAACAGGGGGAAAUCCUCAUCAUUCUGUAAAAUGAAAAUUAGCAUCUAAUUUAUAUUCACCCUUCCCAGUUUGAUCUCCCCCACCAGAAGAUGGCGCACUUAAGUCACUGGUGCACGCUGAGACCAAAUGCAUCUAUUAAGCAAAUACUGGUCACAGAAUCACACUCAUUCUAAAAUUAAAGCCCAGAGGACUGAUUUAUGCUUUAUCCCACUGCAAAGGUUCAUGAUGAUGACAGGAUGAUCUUUUGCAACAUUCAGUCCAAAAAGUGUGCCUUGACAUCAUUGGUGAUUAAAGUAAUCCAAAAUAGCUUGAAGUAUCAAUAGCUACUCCUUUCCAAUUCUAGAAUAUGGAAAUAUCUCAUCAAAAGAUGCACACACACCGAACCAGCAGUAACGCUGGCAGAAACCCACCCCUGAAUAGCAUAUAUUGAUUUGUGGCAAACUCAUCAUAUUCCUCCAGUGUAGCUGUGCCCAGAAACAUAAGCUCUUUUUGAUCUAUUUAGGGAUUGAGACAUUCCAAAUAAUAACUUAUACAGGUUAUGUUGCGCUUGUGCAUUUAUGUGAAAAUUCCUGAACAUUGCUUCUAACAUCUAUUGCAUGUUCAAUUAACAUGUUUUUGUUAUAUGCAUGAGAAAAUUCUGGAACCAUCCUGUUGGAAGCAGCAAGCAAUAAAUCAAUUCCCCAAAUUCA